GGGGGUUUAGCUCAGUGGCAGAGAGCUCGGUUGGCAUUCGAGAGGCCGCGUUCUCAAACCCCACAUCCUUCA